rfam:Trachymyrmex cornetzi contig53392, whole genome shotgun sequence.
AAAUCGGCCUUUUUUGAGGCCACAAACAUUUUCAAAGUGUUGGAA